ncrna:unclassified sequences pemK RNA
AUAAUGAUACUUCCGGUGACGGCUGUUCCACAGGAAUGGGCAGAGGUGAGAGUCCUAUGU